ensembl:lncRNA
CCAGCACACUGUUCUACCGAUACAGGGCAGGAUAGGGACGUUGAAGUUUGUAAUAUAAAAGGGAGAAAAAUGGAUGAAAAGCAGGACCCAGCCAAACAGACAGUGAUGUGGGACUGUGGGCUAAGGUACAUGUUUGGUCCGACUCCUGCCCUGCACCCUGGCAGCAGGUGCAUCAUGCAGUGUAAGGAGGACCUGUCCAGACUGGAGAUGGUUCACAGACUGGCCAAAGACGGAUGCCGUCUUUUUCAAAUCCAUGGAAAGGGACCAGAUAAAGUAAAAGAGCCCCACAGUGACGAGGCAGUCCGUGUGAGUGUGAGCGACCGCGGCCGCGAUGUGCUCGUGCUCCAGGCUCUCAGAGGAUCUGUGAGGGGAGGGGCCACAGAGGAGGAGAGGUAAGCCCGCUCCCUCCUGUUUCCACUGUCAGCCGCUGUCUCUGGCAUGCUUACAUCACUACACUCUUCACAUAAUUGGCAUAG